rnacentral:rRNA from 1 species
UACGUAGGGUGCGAGCGUUAAUCGGAAUUACUGGGCGUAAAGCGUGCGCAGGCGGUUAUAUAAGACAGAGGGGAAAUCCCCGGGCUCAACCUGGGAACUGCCUUUGUGACUGUAUAGCUUGAGUGCGGCAGAGGGGGAUGGAAUUCCGCGUGUAGCAGUGAAAUGCGUAGAGAUGCGGAGGAACACCGAUGGCGAAGGCAGCCCCCUGGGCCGACACUGACGCUCAGGCACGAAAGCGUGGGGAGCAAACAGG